rnacentral:rRNA from 1 species
GAUGAACGCUGGCGGCGUGCCUAAUACAUGCAAGUCGAGCGAACGGACGAGAAGCUUGCUUCUCUGAUGUUAGCGGCGGACGGGUGAGUAACACGUGGAUAACCUACCUAUAAGACUGGGAUAACUUCGGGAAACCGGAGCUAAUACCGGAUAAUAUUUUGAACCGCAUGGUUCAAAAGUGAAAGACGGUCUUGCUGUCACUUAUAGAUGGAUCCGCGCUGCAUUAGCUAGUUGGUAAGGUAACGGCUUACCAAGGCAACGAUGCAUAGCCGACCUGAGAGGGUGUUCGGCCACACUGGGAAUGAGACACGGUCCAUACUCCUACGGGAUGCAGCAAGAGGGAAUCUUCCGCAAUGGGCGAAAGCCUGGCGGAGCAACGCCGAGUGGUUGAUGAAGGUCUUCGGAUCGUAAAACUCUGUUAUUAGGAAAGAACAUAUGUGUAAGUAACUGUGCACAUCUUGACGGUACCUAAUCAGAAAGCCACGGCUAACUACGUG